UACGGAGGGAGCUAGCGUUGUUCGGAAUUACUGGGCGUAAAGCGCGCGUAGGCGGCUUUGUAAGUUAGAGGUGAAAGCCCGGAGCUCAACUCCGGAAAUGCCAUUGAAACUGUGAAGCUUGAGAACGAGAGAGGUGAGUGGAAUUCCCAGUGUAGAGGUGAAAUUCGUAGAUAUUGGGAAGAACACCAGUGGCGAAGGCGGCUCACUGGCUCGUAACUGACGCUCAUGCACGACAGCGUGGGGAUCAAACAGG
rnacentral:rRNA from 1 species